rnacentral:rRNA from 1 species
UACGUAGGGUGCGAGCGUUGUCCGGAAUUACUGGGCGUAAAGCGCACGUAGGCGGAUCGAUCAGUCAGGGGUGAAAUCCCAGGGCUCAACCCUUGAACUGCCUUUGAUACUGUCGAUCUGGAGUAUGGAAGAGGUGAGUGGAAUUCCGAGUCUAGAGGUGAAAUUCGUAGAUAUUCGGAGGAACACCAGUGGCGAAGGCGGCUCACUGGUCCAUUACUGACGCUGAGGUGCGAAAGCGUGGGGAGCAAACAGG